GUUCCUACAGCACAAUGGAUAGUGCAUUGGACUUCUAAUCCAAAGAUCGUGGGUUCAAAUCCCACCUGGGAUA
rnacentral:tRNA from 1 species